rnacentral:rRNA from 1 species
GACGAACGCUGGCGGCGUGCUUAACACAUGCAAGUCGAACGGAAAGGCCUCUUUCGGGGGGUACUCGAGUGGCGAACGGGUGAGUAACACGUGAGUAACCUGCCCUUGACUUUGGGAUAACUUCAGGAAACUGGGGCUAAUACCGGAUAGGAGCUCCUGCUGCAUGGUGGGGGUUGGAAAGUUUCGGCGGUUGGGGAUGGACUCGCGGCUUAUCAGCUUGUUGGUGGGGUAGUGGCUUACCAAGGCUUUGACGGGUAGCCGGCCUGAGAGGGUGACCGGCCACAUUGGGACUGAGAUACGGCCCAGACUCCUACGGGAGGCAGCAGUGGGGAAUAGUGCACAAUGGGUGGAAGCCUGAUGCAGCAACGCCGUGUGCGGGAGGACGGCCUUCGGGUUGUAAACCGCUUUCGCUCAUGACGAAGCUUUGUGUGACGGUAGUGGGUAAAGAAGCACCGGCUAACUACGUG